GAAUGCUCAUUCUUAUCACUUCUAUUCAAUAUAAUACUGAAAUUCCUAGACAGAGCAAUUAGGUAAGACAAAAAAAAGGCAUCCAGCCUGGAAUGGUGUCUACACUAAGCUUGGCAUCAAUAUGGUGACCUUCUGGAAGUGGAGUACCACCAGGUUGCCUAAGGAGGGGUGAACUGACCCGGGUUGGAAAUCGAGCAGGUCAUAACUCCCAUGCUGAUCAGUAGUAGAAUCACUGCACUGUUCCUUUUUGCAGGUGACAUAAUUUUAUAUAUC
rnacentral:lncRNA from 10 species